UGGGGAAUAUUGCACAAUGGGCGAAAGCCUGAUGCAGCGACGCCGCGUGAGGGAUGACGGCCUUCGGGUUGUAAACCUCUUUCAGCAGGGAAGAAGCGAAAGUGACGGUACCUGCAGAAGAAGCACCGGCUAACUACGUGCCAGCAGCCGCGGUAAUACGUAGGGUGCGAGCGUUGUCCGGAAUUAUUGGGCGUAAAGAGCUUGUAGGCGGUUUGUCGCGUCUGCCGUGAAAAUUCGAGGCUCAACCUCGAACUUGCGGUGGGUACGGGCAGACUAGAGUGUGGUAGGGGAGACUGGAAUUCCUGGUGUAGCGGUGAAAUGCGCAGAUAUCAGGAGGAACACCGAUGGCGAAGGCAGGUCUCUGGGCCACUACUGACGCUGAGAAGCGAAAGCAUGGGGAGCGAACA
rnacentral:rRNA from 1 species